rnacentral:rRNA from 1 species
GGGGUGCUAAGGUCACGCGCCGAGAGGGAAACAACCCAGACCAUCAGCUAAGGUCUCUAAGUAUAUGCUAAGUUGAAUAAACGAUGUUCGGUUGCUAUGACAGCUAGGAUGUUUGCUUGGAAGCAGCAAUUCAUUUAAAGAGUGCGUAACAGCUCACUAGUCGAGUGACCAAGCGCGGAAAAUAAUCGGGCAUAAAGCAUAUCACCGAAGCUAUGGAUUUGUCUCUUUUGAGAGAUAAGUGGUAGGGGAGCAUUCCAGUCUGCUGCGAAGGUGGAUCGUGAGGUCUGCUGGAGCGUCUGGAAAAGAAAAUGUAGGUAUAAGUAACGAUAAAAUGGGUGAGAAACCUAUUCGCCGUAAGACUAAGGGUUCCUGAUCAACGUUAAUCGGAUCAGGGUUAGUCGGGUCCUAAGGUGAACCCGAGAGGGGCAACCGAUGGAAAACAUGUUAAUAUUCAUGUACCAGCUUAGGCUGCGAUGGG